CCAAUAGCGUAUAUUAAAGUUGUUGCAGUUAAAAAGCUCGUAGUUGAAUUUCGGGAUCAAUAUUUCGGUCAUGCCGUUGGUAUGCACUGUUAUCAUUGAUUUCUCACCUUCUAAAGAACCGUAAUGCCAUUAAUUUGGUGUUACGGGGAAUUAGGACUGUUACCUUGAAAAAAUUAGAGUGUUUAAAGCAGGCUCACGCUUGAAUACAUUAGCAUGGAAUAAUGAAAUAGGAAAUCCGAUUCUAUUUUGUUGGUUUCUAGGAUCGAUGUAAUGAUUAAUAGGGAUAGUUGUGGGCAUUAGUAUUCAAUUGUCAGAGGUGAAAUUCUUGGAUUUAUUGAAGACUAACUACUGCGAAAGCAUUUGCCAAGGAUGUUUUCAUUAAUCAAGAACGAAAGUUAGGGGAUCGAAGACGAUCAGAUACCGUCGUAGUCUUAACCAUAAACUAUGCCGACUAGGGAUCGGAUGAUGUUAAUUUUUUAAUGACUCAUUCGGCGCCUUACG
rnacentral:misc_RNA from 1 species